GCCAGAGCGUACGCCAUUGGCUGGCACCCGCUCUGCUGUGAAAUAUAAAGCGUGGCUGUGCUAGCCACAAAUGUCAGUCUGCAUUUAAACAAUCAACAAGCAGCACACAUGCUGCAGGCUCUGGGAAACACGGACCAUUGCAACACUAAGCGAUUGAAUUUCUUACAUCUCAAUAGAAACACAGGUUCCUUGUAUUUUGAGGCCAUAUACGUCAUCGCAAUGGAGGCCAUCUAGUGGUUGCUUUUGGUUACUCAGGCCCACUGAUUUAUGUCAGUCCAAUUGAUUCAGCUUUUUGUUUAAAAUCCUAAAAGGGACUGUUUGGUGCAUCAAUCUUGAAAUGAUCUUCUUAGGAUGAUCCGAAAGAAGGUUUCCAUCCACUUGAUUGACUCAUUUUGAUGCGUUUUUACUUUUAAUUUGACAAGUUGAGGUAAGUUCUUGUUGCGCUUCCCU